CAUGAAGUCGGAAUUGCUAGUAAUCGCGGAUCAGAAUGCCGCGGUGAAUACGUUCCCGGGCCUUGUACACACCGCCCGUCACACCAUGAGAGCCGGUAACACCCGAAGUCAGGAGCCUAACCGCAAGGAGGGCGCUGCCGAAGGUGGGAUUGGUAAUUGGGGUGAAGUCGUAACAAGGUACC
rnacentral:rRNA from 1 species